rnacentral:rRNA from 1 species
CCGCGCCGAGACCUAGAGCGGUAGCAGAGAUCGCAGAGAAAGAAAAUAUGGCGGUGGACUGAACACUGAACAGGGCGGAAGAAGAGGGAGGGAGGGAGGGAGGUGAAAGAGGUGCCCGAAGGCAUGCGGGACGCGGAAGACCAACGCCCAGAGCAUGAGAAGGCAGAGGCGGUAGCAAAGGGUGUCCUCUUCGUCUUCGUCCCCUCCUCCGACGGGACGGGAACUAGUGCUCUCGUCGUCUCGUCCGCUAAGAAGCGCCACUUCCCCGCGGCCCAGGUUAGUCCCUGGGUUCCUCCCUUCUCCUCCGUUCGCAGUCGUUCGUCGUUGUCGCGCCUGCCGGUCCUUCGUUCUUACCUGCCGCUGGUGCGCGGCGUAAGGUUGAGGUUGGUCGUGGGCGGGGGCGGCGGCAGCGGCAGCGGCGACGGCCUCGCCCUCCCGUCGAAGUUGAUGCUGUAUCUCUCGUACCUGCCGCCGCCCACCGCGCCGCGCCCCUCCAUGCGGAGCAGGCUGCGGGACGACGCCAUGCUGCUGCUGCCGGGCGCGCUCGGCGACGACGCCUUCGCGUGUUACUUGUGGUGGAGGGUCUAGCGGUAGCAGCCGCGGUUGCAGAAGCGGUAGCUCUCGGAGCUGAUGCUUUAACACCUCUUACUAGAAAAGUUCGUUCUGACCGCUAGCUCUUUCUUCUUAGUCUAUAAAGUCAUACAACAGGACUUUACCCGUAACCAAGAAGAAUAACCGAACAACUGACCCGAACAACCGAAGAAGUUGUUGGAACGUCAGCUCUUAUAACGACCUAAGUUUAACCACGAGUGUCCACUAGAAUACGAGGUCUUCUCCAUGAAGUGUCGUAAAAACCGUAUGCCUCCGACGUUAGAUCAGGAUCCUCGGUGACGACGUCGUGAUACGCGAAUGUAUCGUGGUCGACGACGACCCAGACCGUAGGGACUUCAAUUUCGUAUAGAAUUACCUCAACUGCGAAUGAGAUAAAAUCGAGGGUCGUGUGAGAAACAGUUCUAUAAACCAAGUUAUGAACCUCAAAGUCCACCUAAACAUGAACCCUUUCUUCCAGGGUACCACGUAUGACCCCGUACGUAACGGUUGAACGAACCAGUCCCCCCUAGUGCGUUCAUGGUAGAGUGUACCUUAACCGACUUUAUAAAGUUUUUACUAUCUCUAUCUGCUCUAAACUAAUGUACACCACGUCGUCGACCUCACCGUCGGCGUAAAGCGCGUGGACAACCACCACAUGAGAAACGAGAGCUCCUUCGUCGUAGUACCACCGCUUCACGAGAAGACACCUCUUGUAAGAAGUGUUGACGACAACAACGACAUCACAACUCCCGGGACUAACUCAAGACAGCAUUUCCUUUUACACCAGAGAAACCCGUUCCUCCCAACUAAUACAAACUAGAAUCGAGCUUGCAGGGUAGUAUACCAUGGGUUCUAGAGUAGCGCUAAUAUUAAGAACCUCAUUAACCACCGCAGAAGCCUCCGGAAAAGUUGAAAGAGAACCUAUCCUAAGAAGCACAGAUGUCAUAAUAGUUACUCUCUCCGCGAGGUAGGUUCUAAGAAGAGUGGUAGUGUUAUAGCUAGUAGUGAAGCCGCACGAGGAUACCCGAGGGAACCGAACGACGCACGAGAGGCACGGGACAACCAAGUUACCUCCUUACGGGGUGGUAACCGGCGAGACCUUUAAAAUUCUCGAAGGUCACGGGCGGACCAGUGAUGUUACCAGAACGUAGUGAGAAGAAGUUGUGUUUACUGCUACGGUAGGCGUUAGAGAAGUCGGCACCAUGGCUUUUACUCAAGGUGUACAGAUCGGAAAAGCAGAAGAAGUAACGAUAGAUGACGGAACCAGAGCACUGCAUACCAUAACGACAGGGUAGACCAGAGAAAUAGGGCCAUUAUGAACGGCCCCGUUGUAUACCCGCGUAGCAACCCUGUGAAGAGCCAGGGUACAGACUAUAGCUAGGACCGGAGAAACGUGACGACCCACGGCGUAGAAAGGAACCACCUUGUUACUCUUACUGGCACAGCCAGACGCACUAGGAAGACCUCGAGUGUUUACUCGAGGUGUACGAGGGGAACCAGUACGAGCAGGAGGACUAUAGCUUCUGGUAUCGGCUAACGAAGUUGUUUCCACACAUACUGGUCUAGCACCACUACUUUCCGAACGGUAAGUACCUCCGAGUACGACUUGGCAUGUACUCCGUGAACCAUCGAUCACUACAACACAGACCCGGUGAGUAGAGGAAAAGCCCACAACUCUUCCACCCGUUGUAGCAAGUACGCAAUUCCUAGUGCCCGGUGUUGCCCAAGGGCCACCAGCUGCUCGGCGGACAUAGUCUUCGAGGCCUCGACCAACCCGACCACGAAUCCAGUGUACACAACCAAGAAGACUCACCCUCCUUGAAGUACUUCCUCUUCCACUUUUGUUCACCAUCGAAACACGAAUCUUCUAAACCACGCAAACUGAAGCGGUUCGGACCAAGGCCCUUUCCAUACUUUUAGCUCCUGGAUCUAAAGUGGCUCCUUCUUUACCUCUACAUACACCUAGAGGUAGGUUAGUGUUUGUGAAGUGGCAUGUGCCACCAGCUUUGUUACAGCGAACGUUUCCGACGUCAGGACAAGUCCCGUGAUCCCGAUUCUGUGGACGACCAACACGGUUUCUGGGGUCCCUCUAAAGGAUAUCAACCCUAAGAGUGGUCCGUGCUAGACUACGGCCUCGUAUAGGUACCCGACAAGGGGUUAGAGGCGUUCAGUGUAACUCUUCAUUUAGUCGUCCGGUAUGUUGUAAAAGAACGACAUAACAAUAAAGAGUACUUCCACGAAGAAGUAACCUAGUACCUUAUUAGUUAGACUAUAUAAAUAACAUUUUUCCCGACUAAGGGACUAGUCGUCAGCUCACCUAAAGUAAAACAGUCGGACACUAGAAACACAUUGUUUUGUUAGGAGAGGAACAGUCAUGUACAAGAGAGAAAAACGAAGUGUGCAGAAGAGUAUACGUGGACGACAUUGAACCUGGCGUUGUGGAACAGCCAUCAUCGUUGUACGAUAGGUACCGCUAGAGACUUGUUUACUACGGCUGUUCCGAGACUUUAGACUUAGAAUCAUAAGUAAGUGCUGGUUCCUCUACGUCGACGAAGGUUUGCGUGACCGACCGACAGGUGUGCAGUCACCCCACCGCGGAGCAAACAACGACAGUGUACGACCAUAACCAAGAACGUCGUCCUAGCGGCCCUAGGAGGAAAGGUGUCGCUGAGGCCACCGUGGAUGACGACUGGACUGGUGGCCUCGAGCGCAGCCGGGUGUGCGGUCGCCGCCCAUCCCGCUGGGGCCUGUACUUGGCUACUUGCCUUUUCCCCUUGUCACUGUCCGUUCCGUGGUACUACGACGGAGAUAACUGAGGUCGUCGUCCACGCCAGUAACGAACGAUCAUCACAGAGAGCGGCGAUCAACGAAAAGGAAGAAAAGAAAAAACACGCUCCGUAGUCCGCACCGUUUACGGUUCUUGAAAUACGUGUUUGAGGAGUUGUCGAAACCACGAUCAUAAUUUAGUCUAAAACACGGACACCUUUGGAAAACCCGAAAACCAGCCAAACGAGAGAGGCUAGAAACACAGUCGACGUUCCUAGCAACCGACGUCACGUCCGGUAGUACAAACAGUACUCUAACAUGUAUGUGCACAUACCUACGUUGCUUACACGAAACCUUCUCUCUAACUCUCCUUUUUUCCCUUCGUAAGACCAUACCGUGCUCGUACAUGGAACGGAACGUUCGUUCCGUCCGAUAGCAACGUAAUAGAAAAAGUUAAUAAAAAAACGCUUACCAAAAAAAAAAGUAAAACGAUAAAGUGUAAAGUGUAGAUU